CUCAACUCCCCAAUCCAUCAUCUUUCAUCCUUUAAAAUCCUUAAAGAACCUAUCAUCCUAAACUCUCAACCUAUCAUCCUCUCACUUUUCUUGACAAAUUUCUUGUAUCAUGACCUUGUUUCCGCAGAAACGUCUUUCCUCUCACCUUUCUUGACAAAUUUAGACACAUAUAAUUUUUUCCCGUCAAGCAACUUAUCAAGCAUUAAUAGCAGCAGCUUUCUUCCACCACCUUGCAAGAAAGUAUAUUGCCAAACUUGCAGAAAAUGUCUUGAAGGGAAAAAUUAUACGUGUCCGAAUGUGUAAGUGAAUAAUCUGGGUGAAGAUUUGACAGAGGAUACAAUUCGAGGUAAGUUCUCUGAGUUUGGAAAAGUUGGCACUGAUGUUAUCAUGAAGGAUGGCAAUGGGAAAUCCAGAGGGUUUGGUUUUGUGUACUUUGAGCUGUGGAGGCCCUCACUGGUGCAAUCCUAGGGUCAAAGAAGUCGUUUCUUGGAAGGGCUCAGAAAAGCGCUGAAAGGCAGGAUCUUCUAAAACAUGAAAAUUGCAAGAAUCUGUAUGCGAAGAAUCUUUGAUGGCGAGGAAUAAAAUCGGGAAGCAGAGAAUAUUUUCCAAGAAACAUGGAAGCUUCUUGGAAUCUUCGCAUACACGUCAUCAUCAAUUUUCCAAGAAUAUUUUUUCCUCAAACACGGGGUGGCGUGGGGCGCGUGGUGGUCCUGGCCUGAUUAUCUGGCUCACUACUACGGGGGCUUGGGGCUCCGAUUGGGCUGAAAUUGUAAAGCCCAACGAUCGACUAUAAAAACUAAAGAGUGAGGUUUUAUUCAUGUUUUGCAUGCGGGCUAUACGCGUCCGUUCCGCGUAGAACAGAGUAUAAAUUCAGAGUUUAGGGUAAUGGGUUCCGAUUUUGGAGGAUGAAAGAUGAUGGAGUGGGGUAUUGGGGUUUUCCUUUUUGAUGGGUGUUGAAUGAAGAGUACAGGCAUUAGGUUUUUUUGUGUUUGAGGAUGAUGGGUGAAGGCGGUUUUUAGGGUUUUGUACGACGAUCUUAUUCCAUAUUAAAAUAAAGAUGAUAGACGAAGACGGUAGAAUUUUUCUGUUAGGGUUUCUCGACGAUGGGUGAGGACGAUAGGAUUUUCUAUAGGAAUUUUUUGGGCAUGCUUUAGGAUUUUUCAGGAAUGGAUCGGGCUUGACGCAAGGAAAGGGUUCAUGAUGCCCGAUACCGAACCGAGACGCCAUGUGCCUCAGAAACCUCUCAGUCAACGACUGAUAGUGCGAUUUUGAACCAUGCUUUAGCAGCUGCAUUUAUAUCAGACCUGCACCUGCUGAAGUGAGAUCCAUACAUAACCCAGAUAAGUGGCAUACAUAAAGACUGUAGUGUUGACCUUGCAUCAAUCAGUCUUUUCUUUUCCUCAUAUUUGGCUGAAACUGUGUGCACUUUUUUGUCAUUCUAGAAAAUGUUGGUAGAGCAUAUGAUUUUAGACUAUUUCUAACAGAAUCCAUCUUUCAUGGUUAAUUCUUCUGUUCAGGCUUGGUUCAUCUGGGUUCCUGUAAUGGUAUGCAGGCCAGGUUAAAUUUUUGCUUCUUCUUUGGUCUUCAUUCUUUCUGUUUACCAAGCAUGUUUUCAUGUAAUUUUUUUAGUCUUUGAUUUUGAGAAACUGGUACAUAUUUUCAAAGUACUUCAGAAAGGAUUUGAUAGAUUGGUAAACCUUUUUCAAGCCAUCUGAUUUUCAUGUUGUAUCUGAUAUUUUCAAAGUAUAUCAGAAAGGAUUUGAUGGAUUGGUAAACUUUUUCAAGCCAUCUGAUUUUUAUGUUGUAUUUGAGUUAUAUCCAUGAGUAGGAGAAAGAAUAGCAGCGUUGGAUUUGCGUUAAUUCUGCAGAUGCCUGAUGGGCUUCCUUGUGUGAUAAUUCUACUUUCUAUUGUUUUGUUUCUAUUUGGGGAUUUCUUGGUAGGCAUGGUUAAAUUUCUUAUUAAAUUGUAUAAGUCGAAUGCACUAUAGAAAUCCCUUCAAUUUGUAAUCGCUGUCAUUAUGGUGUGGGCUGUAGCAUUGAGAUUUACCUAUGUAUUUGUAGGUUUUGAAUGGGGACUAUUUGUUCCAUGCUGAGUGAUGGUGGUAUUUUCACGAUUUUGGAUUCAUUAUGUGUUUUGGGCUGAUGAUUAUUUUGGUUUCUGCAGGAAAUAAUAUGAUGUGGGAUGUGGGGUUGAUGUGAUGGUGGUAUUUCCAUGAUUUUGGAGUCAUUAUGUGUUUUGGGCUGAUAAUUGUUUAGGUUUCGUCAGGAAAUAAUAUGAUGUGGGAUGUAGGGUUGAUGCAUAUAAUAUAAAUUGAUUUUUCAUAUAAAUUGAUGCAUAUAAUAUAAAUUGCCUUAAUAUGAAUUAUUUUCUCCCGGCACAUGGAUAUGAACACACUUUCUUUACAAGGUCUAUUUGAAAGAUGUAUGAUUUUUGAAAUAUAUGUCCAACAAACUAUGAUUUGAAGGUGUUUGAUUUUUAAGUAUUGCUCCCACAAAAUAAUUGUAUGUCAUUUAAUAUAUUGUAAUUGAACUUAAGUAUUUGUUGCCUUAAAGAUUGGUUUUAUUGAGUGUUUAGUUGUACGGCUUGUUUGGUUGCUUAUAUUGACCAUUAUGACCUUGCUUCUUGGGAUUGUAGUUUAAUUGGUCUGAGCAAUGCCCUUGCAAUGCGGAAGUUGCGGGUUUGAGCCCCGUCAAUCUCAACUUAAUCCAAAUGACAAGGUUGGGUAAAAUGUUAUGGGAGUUUUUGUCUUUUGAAAUUUUCUUUCUCUUAUUCAUUUUCCCUCUUUUUAUAUAACUUUGCUUGAUUUCAUUCUUAUCUUGGGAGGACAAUGUAUUUUUGUUUGAAAAUUUCGGUUUUCUCUUAUUUAUUUUUCCUUGUUUCACAAAGCUUGGCUUGAUUUCAUUGUUAUCUAGGGAGGCUGUAUAUUUCUACUCUUUUACAGCUAUAUGGGCAUGACUAAGGAUUUCAUGUUUUCUUGCACUUCCCUUUGUACCCAGGUUCUAAUAAAAAUAAAAAGCUUGUUCAUGAGGCAGUUUGUGGCUUAGAAAUCAUAGACAGUGGUCUAUAUUGAAUCAUUGAUAUGGUUAAGAACUUUUCUCAUGUGCCAUUGUAGUUUAGGCAGUUUGAGUUGUAGAAUUUAUUUAUUAGUAUUUUAACAAUUGUAUGCUUGUUAAGGUGCAAACGAAAGUAUGACUUUUUUUUGUAAUUGAUUUCGAAAAGAGUUCGAAAAAAUGGUUUUUGAAAAUGGUUUUUUGAUGUUUUGUAGAACAAAAGUCUGUUUGGAAACUAAAAAUGUUUUAACAUGCUUUUAAUAUUUUUAAAUAUGUUUUAAAAGUAUUUUUAUAUCUAGUGCGUUAACUUUAUUCAUUACCUGUUUAUAUAAUUAUUUUUUAAAACAACCCUAAAAAAACAAGUGAAAACAAUUAAAGGAUGUUCUUUAAAAACAUCAAACAGAAAAUAGAAAACGGCUUUCUGGUUGUUAAAUGUAUUUUCUUAUUUUUUAAAUUCUGGAGAAUCGAAAACUAUUCUUAAAAACAAUUGCCAAAUAGGCCCUAUGGUUUUGCUUUUUCUCUCACCUUCUAGUUUUAGAGUUAAAAUCUCAAAUUGUAUUUGGAAAUUUGUGUUCUAUUACAAACAUCUUUUUUGGAAGUGCUUUGUCUUUGAUGGUGGAUUUGUCUCACGCUCAACAAUUUGUCAUCCCUUGGCAAUCUCUGUUGUAUCCUUUGUGCAACAAGAGAAAAAAAUAUGUGUGAAUAAUUUUUUGCCGAGGAGUUGUGGUUCUUACAAUAAUGAGUUAUAUUAUGAGGUUGGGUUCAAUGAGGUUGUGGGCAGUCUUAAAAUGCGACUGCAUUUUUAUUUUGCUUUGAUUGAGCUUGGUCUGUUGACCUGAAACUCAUAUUAGUUGUUGGUGAUUUAGGUCAGUUUUCUAUUGUAGCUUGGUGACUUACUCUAUAGGGAAUAAAAAUGACAAACAAGGUUCCCACCAGGAUUCCUCUUAUGUAAACUAUGCCCAUGAAUUAAUAUUCAAAUUGACCACAAAAGAAGGGGGAAAAAAGAAGCACUAAUGCACAAUGGUAGAGCCAGCUAUACUACUGUUAUCCACUACAUUAGGAUUUUGGUUAGAUUUGCAUGUUGUGCAAGGAUGUCCAUCAUUUUUAAUCAAUAGACAUGUUUCAGAUACAGAAAAAGAAAAACCCUCCUAGUUUAUGUAAGGAUGGUGGGAUAGGAUUGUUUAGGGUGCUAACAAAACUGUUUGUUUUUGUGGUUUUUCUAAGAAAUAGUAUGAUGGGGGGCCAUGGGGUUUAAUAAGUUCAGAGCUACAGAAUAUAAAAUAAGUGUGUUUUUUCUUUUUCUUAUUUGGCCUUAAAUGUGAAUUUGGCGAUUGAUUUAAUCAGUGUUUGUUUUCAACAGCCUUAAUGUGGGAAUAUUUCUCUCAUUUUUUAUUAAAAUGUCAUAAUACUAAACAGGAGAGAUGAAUUCAUUUAGUCCUAAGAAAGGAUCUUGUUAUUUUGUUACAGAGUUUUUCAGGAAACUGGCAUUUGAAUUAUGUUUUUUGGGUUCAAUUUCUUUGUAUGAGACCAUGUCUACUUGUGACUUGUGAGUCUUUAAAGAGUGCAGAAUUUGAAUAUAUCAACAGCCAUGAUGCUUCUGCAGUUAAUUCUAUUGAGAGGAAGAUAGGUACCAGUCUCCCAAGUUUGAGAGCAUGUGGAAAUAACCGGUUUCUUCUUCUAACAAAUUUCCAACUUUUCUAACCCACUUCAUUUGGCUACUCUGGAUGGGCUUUCUCCUUGGCUGUUUUGUUUGAUAGUAGGCAAGUUUAUCAUACAGAUUUAUUUCUUUCAUUAAACUACUGGUAAUAUAAAAUGUUGUCCAUGACAUCUUGCUUAUCUUUUUGUGGCUGCAAAUAUUAGAAUAUAUUCUUGUGGCCUUACUAAUUUAGUUUCUGUAAUUUUGAUCUCAAGGAAUAUCUACAAGGGAGAUCUUGCGGUGGAAACAAUUUGCAAGAUUGUGAAGGUUGAUAACAAUUUCUUAGAUCCAUGGUUUGUGCAACCAUUGAUUGUGAUAUCUACCAUCACUUGCAUGCAUACAAAUGUUAAGACACCUCUUUUGCAUUUUAAAUGUAUGUGCUAUUUUGUUCCCAUACAUUGCUCACUGCAUCAGUAUUGCUAGGCAAACACGUAUCCUAACUUAUUAAUUAUAAUAUUGCCAAGGAAACAGAUAUCGAAACUAAUUCAUUUCUCGUGGA